UACGAUGUAGCCUGACCUGCACCUCUUGAAAUAUGUAACUACACGUUGCAGCGACGCACGUUGCUUGACCGUGGCUUGUUAACGUUGCAUUUCCCCCGAUUCAUUUCCUGGUCCUACUUCUCCAUAAACAACAUGAAAUCAAGGAGAGAGUUAACUAUUCCUGCUACAUAUUUCCCAUCUUGGUCAGAAAACCCAGGGGAGACACUUUGUUUCUCACACUAUGACUCUGGAGUCAUUACUUGCUCCAAAGCUAAUCACCGACACUUUCUCACUUCUACUUUGCUCCAUCACCCACUCCUCAGAGACACACACACACACACACACACACACGCUGGCUUGACGCACACACCAGUGCAAGUAUGAACAUCAGGCCGCUUACGUAGGCUACGGCGAAAGGUUGUGUGGAGCCUCCGCACAACCAUGAAACGGCCUUUAGUCUUGAAAAUUACUAC